GACGAACGCUGGCGGCGUGCUUAACACAUGCAAGUCGAGCGGUAAGGCCCUUUCGGGGGUACACGAGCGGCGAACGGGUGAGUAACACGUGGGUGACCUGCCCUCAGCUCUGGGAUAAGCCUGGGAAACCGGGUCUAAUACUGGAUAUGACUCCAUGACGCAUGUUGUGGGGUGAAAGCCUUGUGCGGCUGAGGAUGGGCCCGCGGCCUAUCAGCUUGUUGGNGGGGUGAUGGCCUACCAAGGCGACGACGGGUAGCCGGCCUGAGAGGGCGACCGGCCACACUGGGACUGAGACACGGCCCAGACUCCUACGGGAGGCAGCAGUGGGGAAUCUUGCGCAAUGGGCGAAAGCCUGACGCAGCGACGCCGCGUGAGGGAUGACGCCU
rnacentral:rRNA from 1 species